rnacentral:hammerhead_ribozyme from 1 species
GUUCAGCUGACGAGUCCCAAAAUAGGACGAAACACACUUGCUGGAU